AACAGGAUCCAGGUGGCCAUGGGAAGGGUGGUGAUACCUCUGCAAGCUGAAACGCAAUUUGGACGUCAUGUGAAUCUAUGUUUCUCAAGUAUCAAAAGAGAACAGGAUCCAGGUGGCCAUGGGAAGG